UACAGAGGUCCCAAGCGUUGUUCGGAUUCACUGGGCGUAAAGGGUGCGUAGGCGGUCGGGUAAGUCUGAUGUGAAAUCUCACAGCUUAACUGUGAAACUGCAUUGGAUACUAUCCGGCUCGAGGAAUGGAGGGGAGACUGGAAUACUUGGUGUAGCAGUGAAAUGCGUAGAUAUCAAGUGGAACACCAGUGGCGAAGGCGAGUCUCUGGACCAUAACUGACGCUGAUGCACGAAAGCUAGGGGAGCAAACAGG
rnacentral:rRNA from 1 species